CCCUCACUAAUGUAAAAGAAAUAAAGAUUUUUUAAAAGACAAGACAAAGAGCAAUAGCAAAAUUAGUCGCUUAAGUACUAGUGUACAAGCCCAAAUAUGCUCGGGCCCAAAAAAAAUUAACCCUAAUUACAGGCCCAAAAUAAUGACAGCCCAACAAGCCCAAAGCUUAACCAAUUUUCAGCCAAAUCAGAAACCCUAGAGCAGCUUGCGCCGCAACUACUGCCCUCUACGCACGCCACACCUCCGCAAACGCCGCUCCUCAAGCACGUACCUGCAACAAGCGAAGGAGAAGAGCAAAAAUCGAGCCAACAAACAACUGAAUAGAUUUAUUUGGAUUUGUUUUUCUUUUCCAUUUUCGGCUAUAAAAGGCCAAUAUUUUCAGUGUAAAUGGGGGGAAUUUUGGAGUGUUAAAAAAUAUGAAAAUAGAGAGAAAAUACGGAGAUUACAAAGGGUUUUUUUCGAAGGUGAAUCGUGUUUUUUUUUCAUUUUUCCAUUCUUUUUUAUUUUUUAUUUAUUUUUAAUUUAAAAUAUAAAGAAGGGAGGAAGGACUUACCUCUCUCGCCGGAUUCGUCGAGUCGGCGCCAUCUCCGUCACAAUCGGAGCCUUGGCCGAGGCUGAGCGGCGGCGUAUGAGGGUUAAGGAAACCCUAAAGGGGUCUGGUUUCUCCUCUGGAAAGGGAAACCCAAAAGAACAAUUUAAUUUUCUUUUUUCC
rnacentral:lncRNA from 1 species